GAAGGACACCCCAGUACUCCCAGUACUCCACAGAGGCGAAAGUACGUGGGGCUUGAACAUUUCCACACUAUAAUAAGGAGAAAAAGCUUGCACGGAAAAGUGAACUGAGCCGCCCUUCUCCCACCUCACCUCCCCCACCAAACCAGAGUGAGCUACCUGAGCGCUCACCGGGACAGCGAACAACUUGUCUAUCCUGCCUUUUAUCUGCUGCCUACAGGGAGCCUUGGCAUGAGGAAGAGUUUGGUACAGUCUUCAGAGUUACUGACAACUGAUAGAGUUUUGCUACCCCCAUAGCUCAGCUGUUAUGCCACAGGAAUAAUGUCGCCAGAAUUCAGAAGACAGAAGCAUCACUGGUUGCUGGGGUAGUCAAGUUUCAAGGGGGUGGAGAUUCAGAUGGAUCAGGAAUGAUGUAUAAGCUCGAUGAAGAGGAAGGUGCAAAGUCUUUAAGGUGGAGGCAUAUAAGCCAAUUCUUACAUAAAAGAAAAAGAGAAAGAAGAGAAGAACUAAUCAGCAAAAAUAAUCAAUACAUUAAAAAUCUGAAAUUAUAUUCAUUAUUCCAUGUCUUUGGACCUCCCAUCUCUUCAAAAGAGCCAAAGGAGAUAUCUUAUCAUACCACUAAAAGAUCAUAAUGAAUUGGAGAUGUUUAUUAGAAGAAAAUGUGAAGGCUGAGAGUUUCAGAGGAUGAACUUCCUGAUGAUUAAAACUGAGCAAAGGUGGAACAGGCUGUUUCUGAAGUAGUGGGUUCCUUGCCACUCCCCCCUACCCAUAUUACAGGUCUUCAAGCAAGUCCCAAAUAACUACUCCUUAGCAGGGACAUGGGACUCCAAGCUCCCUCCUAUCUCUGCACUUCUGUGAUCCCAUGAACUGGUUUUGAAGCAGCCCCCUCUUUUAGCACUGUUUGGCACUUUUGGCAGUGACCACAAUCAGUAUCUCCUGGUCUUAGCUCCUGUUUCAGAAAUGGCUGCUUAUUGGUUCUUGUAACACCUGCAUCCCUGGU
rnacentral:lncRNA from 1 species